rnacentral:lncRNA from 11 species
AUGGAUCAUUUGGGGGCUCCCCGGAAGCGCACGCUCUCAUUAACCGCACCCGUGCAGCCCUGCCUUGUACCCCUUGCCUCAGCCUCCCUGGACGAGUACACCCUCAUGCGGGCCACCCAACCCUGCCCUCGGGUGGCCGCUGUGCUUUAUCCUGAGGAUUAUUGCGACCUAGAGGCCUGCUCUGUGGGAAAGGAGGAAGGCUAUAUGCCCAUGGCCCCCAGGACGAUGCCCAUUUUGCCCUUGCAGGACGCUUGCCUGUCCCUGAGCCCCACUGGUGUAUCUCCGUCACAUCCGCUCAGCAGCGGGAGUUCCUCUGACGACAGUGGGUACAUGCAAAUGUGGGGUACUGGCCCAACCAAGCUAUCCAGGGAGAGUCCUGCCAGAGGAGACUAUAUCAACAUGUCCCCUUUGCUGUUCCCUUCUUUGUGUGGACCUUCUCCUGCUUCUUCUUCAGAAGGCUAUGGCACCCAGAGUCCCGGGGAACAACCUGGAUGCUUCUGUAGUGCUCCCUGGACCCCUGGUGAAAGAAAGAACAGUGACCAAUACAUGCUGAUGAGUUCUCCAGGCACUCCCUAUGCCUCCUGGGCCUCUGGUGAAAGAAAGAACAGUGACCAGUAUGUGAUGAUGAGUUCCCCAGGAGUUCCCAAAGCAGAGGGCAGCUACGCCGCUAUGCCUUUCCCCAUUCACCACAGCCGAAUGGAGCCUUUCCUCAGUCGCCAUUCUUUACGGUUGUCGCUGCCUAGCAGGGAGGAGCCACCCACCUUGAAUGAACCCCAGAGUCCCAGUGGGGAAUAUGUCAACAUUAGCUACUCCCAAGCACCACUUUGCGAUGGUCCCACCUUCCUGCUCGGCUCUAGUUUAGGUAAUCGAAGCAGACCAUGUGACUCCAGUUAUACAAACAUCAGAUCGGGUGGGUCACAGUCAAGUACCCUCUCGGUGGGGUCCCUGGAGGAAGCGCUUUUGCCAGAAGUCUCCCCUAGCCCUGAGCCCUCUGGCAAGCCUUAUGUAAAGGUUGGGGUAGAGCAGGCUUGUCUUUCCAGCCCACUUUCUGAGGCUGGUGACUACACAGAGAUGUUUUUCACAACAGCCACUGCUCCCCCCCAACCCAUCUCACAUAAGCUAGAAACGGUUCGUGUAAGCAGCCCAGUGUCUGGCCUGAAGCGGCUGACACUUUCUGGAAUGGAGACCUUUCUCUUGGCUAGCCCGCCUCCUGAUCCCAAUCACGGAGCCAAAGUCAUCCGUGCUGAUCCUCAGGGGCGCCGCAGGCACAGCUCAGAGACGUUCUCCUCCACGACCACCGUGACCCCCGUUUCUCCUUCUUUUGCACACAAACCUAAGCGACACAACUCUGCCUCUGUGGAAAAUGUGUCCCUCAGGAAAAACGAAGGCCUUGUGGAAGAGCAAAAUGGCAGCCCUAUGUGUCGGGAGACGUCUGCUGGCUUCCAGCAUGGCCUCAACCAUAUUGCUCUUGAAGGAGACCAUCUGGCCAAUGCUUAUCAAGGGAAGCACAAAGGCAAGCAUCCUCUCAAUGGGAGUAUUGAUGGUACUUACACCACUAUAGACUUUCGGAACCGCAAUUUGAAUGAAGCUUCGUCAGUAAAAGUUUGUUAAGAGUUGUUGCCGUGUUGAUUCCAGAGAACAAGAGACAAGAAUGAAGAAACAAGUUUCACCAUCAUGACCUCUGAAUCCAUUUUAAAAGCUGCUCAUAGAUUUUUUCAAGAGAUUACAUCUUAAACAGCUUUAAGAUCUGCUUAUUUUUUUCUAUCUUAUGUAGCUUUCAGAACAGUUCUUUAUUGUAUUGAAGAGGAACCAAACCAUCUAGGAUGUUUUGCAAGAUUAAUCUUGUAGAGACUGUGGAUCUCUUCAUUCGGCAUAGUGAUCAUAACCAUUACCUUUUCAGUACAAAUAAACUGUGUGUGUUCUUCAGCAUGUUGAGAUGUUCUGCUUGCACCUGCUAUAGCAGUGAAGAGUGGUGUUUACUGGUGUCCUUUCAAACCUCUGCAGCACUACCUCAAUUAAGAGUAGAACUGAAUUUGCAUUGCAUUGGCUGGCCUUACUGCUGAAUGUUGAACAGUCACCAACCUAUGGGACCUUAUCAAGAAUAACAGGAUGCUGCUGGUCAGUUGCUUCCCACUUACUAGCUGCUCUGUUAAUUUAUCAAGAGAAGAUCAGGAUGAGAUAUGAAAGAUUUAAACCAAAAAGAAACUUGAACGUUUGGAUUUGUAUGAAAAUAUUUAUGACCAUUAUAUAAUAUAUAAUAGAAGCAACAGAACUUAGUAUCAUUAAACUCUAUUGGGAAGUCAUUAUUUACUUCUGACACAUUUGUGUAAUUGUCUUGAUAGGAUUUUUUUUAUGCUUCAGAUUGCAAAAACGUUUCCUGCUAUGUAUAGGGUUACACUCAUUAGCAAAUCCUAUUAGUUGAAUUUCUUAUUACCAAAAGUCACAACAGGAAAUUGACAGAUCAAAACACGGGUCCAAACCAAAAACUUCAUUUUGGACAGGAUACUACAUCAAUUCUUUUCCCUUUUAGAAAGAAUGAAAUUUCUCAUAAAAGGAACAACAUAAAAUUUGGACAUAUGUGGGUUAAAAAGGCCAGUAUUCUAGUAAAACAUAUUGAGAAGUAUGUACCUGCUCUGUAUUUUGAAGAUAAAUGUCCUGAUUGGUCUUUUUACAUUCACAUUACAGUUUGCAUUAUAUUGGACCACGUUCAUCCUCUUGUUGCUUCUAAUCUGUAUUUGAUUAGAGAGGCUUUUAAAUAAUAUUCUUUCAAGAAUACUUCUUCUGCGUUUCAUGUGACAGUAAAAACAAAAAGGAACUUGGGAAAGGCAGGUUCAGUUUCCAGGUGAGCCAUGAAGCUCACUUGUUGAUAUUGGAUCAGACUCUCUCUGUCAGCCUGGCCUGCCUCAGAGUGAACUUUAUAUAUUACUGUACUAAUCUACAAUUUUUAGUCAAAAAUCAACCCAGUUUAUCCACAAGUACUGUACUUUAACUCCUUUUUUUUAAAAGGAACCAUCCUCCUCUCUGAGAAGGGUAGCAAAAGGCACAAGAGAGAAACUCAAGAAAGCACCAACCAUAUCUACUCUUUCCACCAUAGCACUACUUUAUAUCAUUAAAUGCCUGGGUGGAAAAAUGGUGAUGGUCGCUUACACAUGAGUAUAUAUGGUAGUUAUGAGGAUGGAGUGGGACAGUUAUUCCGAUCUGAACUCUUGAGGUAAGGCAGGAUGAAUUAACAGUUCUGUGUCAUCAUAAAUGCUUUACAUUGUUAACUAAGGGAGGAAAAGGAACCAGUGCCCCAAUGUUCUGAUUAAAUGCCGUGCAAACUCAUUUUACUUCCAUGCUAAGUGUUUGGAUUGAAGAUUGUAUAACAAGACAUAUCUGAAUGUAAUCUCCACCCAUUAAAUAUUACUCUGAGGACCUGGGAGGAGAAUAUUAUAGUGAAUAUCUUGGUAAAAAUUACAGAGAUAACAAAAAAAUAAGUGACAGUCCUGUUAUGUAAAAAAAAAAACCCUUCACUUCUCUGUCUCAGUUAAUUUAUUGAUGAUGAUAUUCCCGGCCAGUGAGAGAAUUUAAUAUGGCAGUUGUUGAAAUCAAAAAAUGAUCCUUGUAAAAUAUGAGGGAAUCUAUUAGUUUCUGAUGCCACAAUAGUUAAUUAGGUAGAUAGCCUAUAAAAUAAAGGAGAUGGAAUAUCGGGGGGUUGGGGAGUAAAUUCUUUUCAGUACUAUACAUUUUGUAAGGGGCUUAUGCAAAUACAUACAUUCUUAGUUAUCAUAUUGAACCAAAAUGUAUAAUUGAUAAGUUUGCUAAAUUUUUUGCCUGAUUUUAUCUUAAAUUUUGAAUAUUUUUUGCUAUUUAAUAUUAAUGGUUAUGAGCAGAGUUUUUCUUUUAGAGAUAUAUAAUUGUUCCUAGAUAUCAAGAUACUAAAUAUAUUUCUUGCCAUUGUGAUAUGGCAAAACACUUAACUUAUCUUGCUCUGUCUUCCAAUGUAUACUAUGUAUAUAGGUGUAAUCAGUGAUGCUGCUAGGAAAGAGAAAAAUGAAACUAGACUAGCAUAUGUAUUUAGUCUCUAUUGAUCCUGACUGCUCUCUUUAAUAGCCAUAUGCAAUAAAAUGUUAUUUAUUAAAGGAACGAUGUUUUUCGGGGCCUAUGUGUUAACAUUGGGGUGGGAGGAGCUGAUCAGAGCUACCACAUCAAAUCAGAUGGUAAUUAGAUUGAGACAAAGCCUUUGGUGUGCAGGAAAAUGCAGGGGGUUCACAGCAUUAUGGGUGCAGCCUUAUGGAUUGAUGGUUGCAGCAAAUGAAGGCUACUGUGAAAUUAUCCAUUAUGGAGGGCAUGGAGACCAUUCUGUCCUCCAGUAUGUGUGCCCAUUUCCUUGUUCCAGGAUGAAGCCAACACUGAAAAUAGGGACUUGUAUAGGAUAUUUCAAAAGGUAGACCAAGGAAGCACUUGUAUAGAACCAGUUACAGCAAGGUCAGGCCCGCCUCACAACUGCCCCAGCUAGAGAGAAAGGGAAAUGAAAACUCCACUAGUUAACAAAGGAAAGCAUGUAGUCUCACCCCUUAUGACCUGGAAUGUUUAAAUGUUAAGUUUAGGCGUUCAACACUUCCUUUCUUCCUUAUUCAGACAAACUAACUCUUUAAAACCCAUUCCAGGCUAGGCCAGGAAAGUUCUGUGACUUGUGCAGGUACGAUGACAAUCACCUUUGGUGACAAGUGGCAUAUCUACUACAGCCUGUUCUUUGUAGAGGCUUUUUUGUUUAUCAAAAUAUUCUUUAUAAUACAGCUAUCAAUAAAUUUUACUAAUGGAAAAAC